UACGAAGGGGGCUAGCGUUGCUCGGAAUCACUGGGCGUAAAGCGCACGUAGGCGGAUCUUUAAGUCAGGGGUGAAAUCCCAAGGCUCAACCUUGGAACUGCCUUUGAUACUGGGGAUCUCGAGUCCGGAAGAGGUUGGUGGAACUGCGAGUGUAGAGGUGAAAUUCGUAGAUAUUCGCAAGAACACCAGUGGCAAAGGCGGCCAACUGGUCCGGUACUGACGCUGAGGUGCGAAAGCGUGGGGAGCAAACAGG
rnacentral:rRNA from 1 species